rnacentral:rRNA from 1 species
UGGGGGAAUCUUGGACAAUGGGCGCAAGCCUGAUCCAGCCAUGCCGCGUGAGUGAUGAAGGCCCUAGGGUCGUAAAGCUCUUUCGCCAGGGAUGAUAAUGACAGUACCUGGUAAAGAAACCCCCGGCUAACUCCGUGCCAGCAGCCGCGGUAAUACGGAGGGGGGUUAGCGUUGUUCGGAAUUACUGGGCGUAAAGCGCACGUAGGCGGACCAGAAAGUUGGGGGUGAAAUCCCGGGGGCUCAACCCCGGAACUGCCUCCAAAACUAUUGGUCUAGAGUUCGAGAGAGGUGAGUGGAAUUCCAAGUGUAGAGGUGAAAUUCGUAGAUAUUUGGAGGAACACCAGUGGCGAAGGCGGCUCACUGGCUCGAUACUGACGCUGAGGUGCGAAAGUGUGGGGAGCAAACAGGAUUAGAUACCCUGGGUAGUCCACACCGUAAAACGAUGAAUGCCAGUCGUCGGGUAGCAUGCUAUUCGGUGACACACCUAACGGAUUAAGCAUUCC